GCCGCAUGCGCGCUACACUGACCGGAUCAGCGUGUGCUCUCCUUGGCCGACAGGUCCGGGAAACCCGUUGAACCCCGGUCGUGCUAGGGAUAGGGAAUUGCAAUUAUUUCCCUUGAACGAGGAAUUCCCAGUAAGCGCGAGUCAUUAGCUCGCGUUGAUUACGUCCCUGCCCUUUGUACACACCGCCCGUCGCUACUACCGAUUGAAUGGUUUAGUGAGGUCCUCCGAUUGGACCCGGUCCGGGCGGCGACGUCCGAGCCGGCGUCCGAGAAGACGAUCUAACUUGAUCAUUUAGAGGAAGUAAAAGUCGUAACAAGGUUUCCGUAGGUGAACCUGCGGAAGGAUCAUUA
rnacentral:ncRNA from 1 species